rnacentral:tRNA from 1 species
GUUUUCGUAGCUUAACAACAAAGCGUGGCACUGAAGAUGCCAAGAUGGCCCACCACAUGCCCGAUGACA